AAUUUCUACAAAAUCCCCGACAACCUCCCCUUCUCAACCAAGAACCUGGACCUGAGCUUUAAUCCCCUGAGGCAUUUAGGCAGCUAUAGCUUCUUCAGUUUCCCAGAACUGCAGGUGCUGGAUUUAUCCAGGUAAUGAAUCCACUUUUACAUACUGCACAAGGUGAGGUGUUCAUUGUCCUAUCAUUUCAUUAUUGGACUGGAAAGCUUGGUUUGUGGAGUCUCAUCUUCAUUCACUUAUUCAUUCAUACAACAGAUGUCUUACAACUGC
rnacentral:lncRNA from 1 species